rnacentral:lncRNA from 1 species
CCCCGCCUGCCUUCCAUUGACAGGUUUAUUUAAGGCAUAGACAUCAGAGUGUGCACACACUCUCACAUACACAGCACACACUCUCACACACACACACACACACAUACAUACACACAUACAUACAUACACACACAUACACACACAGCACACUCUCACACACACAGCACACACAUACAUACACAGCACAACUCUCACAUACACACUCUCACAUACACAGCACACACUCUCACAUACACAGCACACACAUACACAUACACAGCACACACAUACAUACACAGCACACUCUCACAUACACAGCACACACAUACAUAUACAGCACACACAUACAUACACAGCACACACAUACAUACACAGCACACUCUCACAUUCACAGCACACACAUACAUACACAGCACACACAUACAUACACAGCACACACUCUCACAUACACAGCACACACAUACAUACACAGCACACACAUACAUACACAGCACACACAUACAUACACAGCACACACAUACAUACACAGCACACACUCUCACAUACACAGCACACACAUACAUAUACAGCACACACAUACAUACACAGCACACACAUACAUACACAGCACACGCAUACAUACACAGCACACACAUACAUACACAGCACACACAGCACACACAUACAUACACAGCACACACAGCACACACAUACAUACACAGCACACACAUACAUACACAGCACACACAUACAUACACAGCACACACAUACAUACACAGCACACACAUACAUACACAGCACACGCAUACAUACACAGAACACACAUACAUACACAGCACACACAGCACACACAUACAUACACAGCACACACAGCACACACAUACAUACACAGCACACACAUACAUACACAGCACACGCAUACAUACACAGCACACACAUACAUACACAGCACACACAUACAUACACAGCACACACAUACAUACACAGCACACACAUGCACCUACACAUGACGGCUCUUUGCACAGUUUAUCUUUAAAGAACAGGAGG